rnacentral:rRNA from 1 species
UACGAGGGGAGCAAGCGUUGUUCGGAUUUACUGGGCGUAAAGGGCGCGUAGGCGGUCGUGACAAGUCACUUGUGAAAUCUCCGGGCUUAACUCGGAACGGUCAAGUGAUACUGUCGGACUAGAGUACAGAAGGGGCAACUGGAAUACUUGGUGUAGCAGUGAAAUGCGUAGAUAUCAAGUGGAACACCAGUGGCGAAGGCGAGUCUCUGGACAUUUCCUGACGCUGAGGCACGAAAGCCAGGGGAGCAAACGGG